rnacentral:snoRNA from 1 species
AGAAUUUGUGUGUGUUUGUUCAAAUAAUGGACAAAGGCCAACUAGACAGGUACAAAAAUAAAUCAUUUCUUGCAACCCAGAUUUCAUUGCUCAGUAUGAGUUUUGAUAUAUACAGAUAUAUACA